GGAAGUAAAAAUCGUAACAAGGUUUCCGUAGGUGAACCUGCGGAAGGAUCAUUACCUAGAGUUGUAGGCUUUGCCUGCUAUCUCUUACCCAUGUCUUUUGAGUACCUUCGUUUCCUCGGCGGGUUCGCCCGCCGAUUGGACAAUUUAAACCAUUUGCAGUUGCAAUCAGCGUCUGAAAAAACAUAAUAGUUACAACUUUCAACAACGGAUCUCUUGGUUCUGGCAUCGAUGAAGAACGCAGCGAAAUGCGAUAAGUAGUGUGAAUUGCAGAAUUCAGUGAAUCAUCGAAUCUUUGAACGCACAUUGCGCCCCUUGGUAUUCCAUGGGGCAUGCCUGUUCGAGCGUCAUUUGUACCUUCAAGCUCUGCUUGGUGUUGGGUGUUUGUCUCGCCUCUGCGCGUAGACUCGCCUCAAAACAAUUGGCAGCCGGCGUAUUGAUUUCGGAGCGCAGUACAUCUCGCGCUUUGCAUUCAGAACGACGACGUCCAAAAGUACAUUUUUACACUCU
rnacentral:rRNA from 1 species